AACGAACGCUGGCGGCAUGCCUAACACAUGCAAGUCGAACGAGACCUUCGGGUCUAGUGGCGCACGGGUGCGUAACGCGUGGGAACCUGCCCUUAGGUUCGGAAUAACUCCCCGAAAGGGGUGCUAAUACCGGAUAAUGUCUUCGGACCAAAGAUUUAUCGCCUUUGGAUGGGCCCGCGUUGGAUUAGCUAGUUGGUAGGGUAAAAGCCUACCAAGGCGACGAUCCAUAGCUGGUCUGAGAGGAUGAUCAGCCACACUGGGACUGAGACACGGCCCAGAAUGCUACGGGAGGCAGCAGUGGGGAAUAUUGGACAAUGGGCGAAAGCCUGAUCCAGCAAUGCCGGGUGAGUGAUGAAGGCCGUAGGGUAGUAAAGCUCUUUUACCCGGGAUGAUAAUGACAGUACCGGGAGAAUAAGCACCGGCUAACUCCGUG
rnacentral:rRNA from 1 species